AGGAGACAAAUUAGCAUAGGAAAGAAUAGAUGAAAGGGGAUGAAGACUACCUGAUGAAGAGUGAUUGGUUGUAGCAGCUAAAUGACAAUGAUAAUCCUGCAAGUAUUGAGGUGGCCUCUUUAACUUAGUAAACUGCCUCAAAGGAACAGAAAUGGAAAAAGGAGGAGAAGAUAGCAAAGAGGAAGGUGGUUGAGAAACAGGUUCAGAAGGGGGAAAAGAUGAAGAAAAAAUGUCAAAGGAAGAAAAAAUAUUAUCUUGAGGCAAAGAAGGUGAAGAUUGAAAAGGUGGUGAUAGAAAGGAAACAAAUGCUCAUAAAAGAAAACAUGUCUAGAUACAAAUAUAUUUCUAUUGUGAAGAUUUAAAAGAACAAAUCCCUUAUUACCUGGUUUGUAUCGAAGAAACACACACUUGUGAGCUCUAUGAUCAAACUUAUUUUUGCCAACAGAUAGAGUGGAAGCAUGACAAAGUGAGCAAAAAACUUUUAGAUCUUGAAAAGUAGGUGAAGAAGAAUAUAAAAGUUCGAAAGGAGUCUUGUUUUGUAUAACUGGAGAAGAAAGUCUGUUAAUAAG
rnacentral:misc_RNA from 1 species